rnacentral:miRNA from 1 species
UCACCGGGUAAAAACUGGUAGA